rnacentral:rRNA from 1 species
AGAGUUUGAUCCUGGCUCAGGAUGAACGCUAGCGGCAGGCCUAACACAUGCAAGUCGAACGGUAAGGUCUCUUCGGAGAUACACGAGUGGCGCACGGGUGAGUAACGCGUAUGCAACCUACCUUUUACAGGGGGAUAGCCCGAAGAAAUUCGGAUUAAUACCCCAUAGUUCAUUAUCACCGCAUGGUGGGAAUGAUAAAGUUUUGGCGGUAAAAGAUGGGCAUGCGUGACAUUAGAUAGUUGGUGAGGUAACGGCUCACCAAGUCAGCGAUGUCUAGGGGGUCUGAGAGGAUGGUCCCCCACACUGGUACUGAGACACGGACCAGACUCCUACGGGAGGCAGCAGUGAGGAAUAUUGGUCAAUGGACGCAAGUCUGAACCAGCCAUGCCGCGUGCAGGAUGACAGCCCUAUGGGUCGUAAACUGCUUUUAUAAGAGAAGAAACCUUCGGACGUGUCCGAGGCUGACGGUAUCUUAUGAAUAAGGACCGGCUAACUCCGUGCCAGCAGCCGCGGUAAUACGGAGGGUCCAAGCGUUAUCCGGAUUUAUUGGGUUUAAAGGGUGCGCAGGCGGCUUAUUAAGUCAGUGGUGAAAUCUCAAUACCUCAACUGUGAAACUGCCAUUGAUACUGGAAUUCUUGAGUAUAGUUGAGGUAGGCGGAAUGUGUAAUGUAGCGGUGAAAUGCUUAGAUAUUACACAGAACACCGAUUGCGAAGGCAGCUUACUAAGCUAUUACUGACGCUGAUGCACGAAAGCGUGGGGAGCGAACAGGAUUAGAUACCCUGGUAGUCCACGCCGUAAACGAUGAUUACUCGUUGUUGGCGAUAUAUUGUCAGCGACUGAGCGAAAGCAUUAAGUAAUCCACCUGGGGAGUACGUUCGCAAGAAUGAAACUCAAAGGAAUUGACGGGGCCCGCACACACAAGCGGAGGAGCAUGUGGUUUAAUUCGAUGAUACGCGAGGAACCUUACCUGGGCUCAAACGUAGAGUGACCAUCUGUGAAAGCAGAUUUUCCUUCGGGACAGUCUACGAGGUGCUGCAUGGUUGUCGUCAGCUCGUGCCGUGAGGUGUCGGGUUAAGUCCCAUAACGAGCGCAACCCCUAUCUUUAGUUGCCAUCAGGUCAUGCUGGGGACUCUAAAGAAACUGCCUACGCAAGUAGUGAGGAAGGUGGGGAUGACGUCAAAUCAGCACGGCCCUUACGUCCAGGGCUACACACGUGCUACAAUGGUCGAUACAGAGGGCAGCUACCUGGUGACAGGAUGCAAAUCUCGAAAAUCGAUCUCAGUUCGGAUCGAAGUCUGCAACUCGACUUCGUGAAGUUGGAUUCGCUAGUAAUCGCAUAUCAGCCAUGAUGCGGUGAAUACGUUCCCGGGCCUUGUACACACCGCCCGUCA